rnacentral:rRNA from 1 species
UACAGAGGUGGCAAGCGUUGUUCGGAAUUACUGGGCGUAAAGGGCGCGUAGGUGGCCUUCUUAGUCAGACGUGAAAUCCCCAGGCUUAACCUGGGAACUGCGUCUGAUACUGGAAGGCUAGAGUCCGGAAGAGGAGAGUGGAAUUCCUGGUGUAGCGGUGAAAUGCGCAGAUAUCAGGAAGAACACCCGUGGCGAAGGCGGCUCUCUGGACCGAUUACUGACGCUGAGGCGCGAAAGCUAGGGGAGCAAACGGG